rnacentral:rRNA from 1 species
CCUACGGGCGGCUGCAGUGGGGAAUAUUGGACAAUGGGGGGAACCCUGAUCCAGCCAUGCCGCGUGUGUGAAGAAGGCCCUCGGGUUGUAAAGCACUUUCAGUGAGGAAGAACGCCUGGUGGUUAAUACCCAUCAGGAAAGACAUCACUCACAGAAGAAGCACCGGCUAACUCCGUGCCAGCAGCCGCGGUAAUACGGAGGGUGCGAGCGUUAAUCGGAAUUACUGGGCGUAAAGCGCGCGUAGGUGGCUUGAUAAGCCGGUUGUGAAAGCCCCGGGCUCAACCUGGGAACGGCAUCCGGAACUGUCAAGCUAGAGUGCAGGAGAGGAAGGUAGAAUUCCCGGUGUAGCGGUGAAAUGCGUAGAGACCGGGAGGAAUACCAGUGGCGAAGGCGGCCUUCUGGACUGACACUGACACUGAGGUGCGAAAGCGUGGGUAGCAAACAGGAUUAGAUACCCGAGUAGUC